rnacentral:rRNA from 1 species
GCAUAUCAAUAAGCGGAGGAAAAGAAACUAACAAGGAUUCCCCUAGUAACUGCGAGUGAAGAAGGGAAAAGCUCAAAUUUAAAAUCUGGCAGUCUCUGAUUGUCCGAGUUGUAAUUUAGAGAAGUGUUACCCGUGUUGGACCGUGUACAAGUCUCCUGGAAUGGAGCGUCAUAGAGGGUGAGAAUCCCGUCUUUGAUACGGAUCCCAAUACAUUGUGGUACACUCUCGAAGAGUCGAGUUGUUUGGGAAUGCAGCUCUAAAUGGGUGGUAAAUUCCAUCUAAAGCUAAAUAUUGGGGAGAGACCGAUAGCGAACAAGUACCGUGAGGGAAAGAUGAAAAGAACUUUGGAAAGAGAGUUAAACAGUACGUGAAAUUGCUGAAAGGGAAACGCUUGAAGUCAGUCGCGUUGGUCGGGGAUCAGCCUUCCUUAUGGUUGGUGCAUUUCCUGAUCAACGGGUCAACAUCAGUUUUGAUCAAUGGAUAAAAGUUUGAGGGAUGUGGCAUCUUCGGGUGUGUUAUAACCUCUUGCUAUAUACAUUGAUUGGGACUGAGGAACUCAGCACGCCGCAAGGCCGGGUUUUUAACCACGUUCGUGCUUAGGAUGUUGGCAUAAUGGCUUUAAUCGACCCGUCUUGAAACACGGACCAAGGAGUCUAACAUGCCUGCGAGUGUUUGGGUGGAAAACCCGAGCGCGCAAUGAAAGUGAAAGUUAGGAUCUCUGUCGUGGAGAGCACUGACGCCCGGCCCAGACCUUUUGUGACGGUGCCCGCGGUUGAGCAUGUAUGUUGGGACCCGAAAGAUGGUGAACUAUGCCUGAAUAGGGGUGAAGCCAGAGGAAACUCUGGUGGAGGCUCGUAGCGAUUCUGACGUGCAAAUCGAUCGUCGAAUUUGGGUAUAGGGGGCGAAAGACUAAUCGAACCAUCUAGUAGCUGGUUCCUGCCG